GUGCUUGCUUUGGCAGCACACAUACUGAAAUUGGAGCAAUACAGAGAUAAGCACAGCCCCUCUGCAAGGAUGACAUGCAAAUUUGUGAAGCAUUCCAUAUUUUA